AGUGAACGCUGGCGGUAGGCCUAACACAUGCAAGUCGAACGGCAGCACAGUAAGAGCUUGCUCUUACGGGUGGCGAGUGGCGGACGGGUGAGGAAUACAUCGGAAUCUACUUUUUCGUGGGGGAUAACGUAGGGAAACUUACGCUAAUACCGCAUACGACCUACGGCUGAAAGCAGGGGAUCUUCGGACCUUGCGCGAUUGAAUGAGCCGAUGUCGGAUUAGCUAGUUGGCGGGGUAAAGGCCCACCAAGGCGACGAUCCGUAGCUGGUCUGAGAGGAUGAUCAGCCACACUGGAACUGAGACACGGUCCAGACUCCUACGGGAGGCAGCAGUGGGGAAUAUUGGGCAAUGGGCGCAAGCCUGAUCCAGCCAUACCGCGUGGGUGAAGAAGGCCUUCGGGUUGUAAAGCCCUUUUGUUGGGAAAGAAAAGCAGCAGGUUAAUACCCCGCUGUUCUGACGGUACCCAAAGAAUAAGCACCGGCUAACUUCGUG
rnacentral:rRNA from 1 species